GCGUGCAGGAAGAAGGCCUUCGGGUUGUAAACUGCUUUUGUCAGGGAAGAAAUCCUUUGGGCUAAUACCCCGGAGGGAUGACGGUACCUGAAGAAUAAGCACCGGCUAACUACGUGCCAGCAGCCGCGGUAAUACGUAGGGUGCAAGCGUUAAUCGGAAUUACUGGGCGUAAAGCGUGCGCAGGCGGUUAUGCAAGACCGAUGUGAAAUCCCCGGGCUCAACCUGGGAACUGCAUUGGUGACUGCAUAGCUCGAGUACGGCAGAGGGGGAUGGAAUUCCGCGUGUAGCAGUGAAAUGCGU
rnacentral:rRNA from 1 species